rnacentral:rRNA from 1 species
UGAAACCGUUUAGGGGUAAACCUGAGAAACCCGAAAGAUUGAAGGAAGAAAUUCAUUCGCGUUUCGAUACAGGCAAUGGAAAAUUAUAUGACAGAUGUAAUAUUAUUUAUUUAAUAUUAUGACGCAUUAAUUUUUCAUUUGAUCCAGUAACGAACGUGUGCACUUUUCUUCUGGUAGGACGUCGCAAUCCGUUGAGUGUCGAUCUACGGUUUUUACAGUGGAGAUCAAUUGUAUUAUAUUUUUAUCGGUAUUAAUAUGAGUGAACCUGUAUUAUCUGAUCGAUAAAGAAUAACUCUCGACGGUAGACCAUAUGGUUUGGGGCCGCUCUUUUAUUGAGCGUUCGACUCGUAACAAGCGCGCUAGAUGUGUUGAAGUCCGGACUUAGUGCCGGUCCCAACCUCUAGUGACUGUUCGUUACGAUGUUCUCGAACAGACCUUACUAAAAAACCGAUUGGCGACGCUAUAGCUUUGGGUAAUUUCAGGACCCGUCUUGAAACACGGACCAAGGAGUCUAGCAUGUACGCAAGUCAUUGGGAAUUAUUAAACCUAAAGGCGUAAUGAAAGUAAAGAUCUUUCUUGUAGAGAUCGAGGGAAGAAGAAUGGGUUUUUAAUUAGUUUUUAUAGGCUACCAUUCUGCAUUCCCGGGGCGUUUCAUUCUCAUUGUGAGUGGAGGCGCACUAAGAGCGUACACGCUGGGACCCGAAAGAUGGUGAACUAUGCCUGGUCAGGAUGAA